rnacentral:rRNA from 1 species
AUACGUAGGUGACAAGCGUUAUCCGGAUUUACUGGGCGUAAAGGGCGUGUAGGCGGUCUUGCAAGUCAGAAGUGGAAUUCCUGAGCUCAACUCGGGCGCUGCUUCUGAAACUGCAGGACUUGAGUGCUGGAGGGGAUAGCGGAAUUCCUAGUGGAGCGGUAAAAUGCGCAGAUAUUAGGAAGAACACCGGUGGCGAAGGCGGCUAUCUGGACAGUAACUGACGCUGAGGCGCGAAAGCGUGGGGAGCAAACAGGAAUAGAUACCCGGGUAGUCCACGCCGUAAACGAUGAAUACUAGGUGUAGGGGGUAUCGACUCCCUCUGUGCCGCAGUUAACACAAUAAGUAUUCCGCCUGGGGAGUACGGCCGCAAGGUUGAAACUCAAAGGAAUUGACGGGG